rnacentral:rRNA from 1 species
UACGUAGGGUGCAAGCGUUGUCCGGAAUUAUUGGGCGUAAAGAGCCCGUAGGCGGUCUGUCACGUCUGCUGUGAAAACUCGGGGCUUAACCCCGGGCCUGCAGUGGGUACGGGCAGACUAGAGUGCGGUAGGGGAGACUGGAAUUCCUGGUGUAGCGGUGAAAUGCGCAGAUAUCAGGAGGAACACCGGUGGCGAAGGCGGGUCUCUGGGCCGUAACUGACGCUGAGGAGCGAAAGCGUGGGGAGCGAACGGG